AAAUAAGAUUUGCCGUGAGGAGUCAGCAGAGGUCAUAGUACUCUGUGUAGUCGACGACACGGAGGAAGGAC
rnacentral:ncRNA from 1 species